UAGGGCUGUGGGCGAAUAGGAAAGGCCACCAUCCUGUCACGAUGGAGUAUGCGGGUUCGAUACCCGUCAGUCCUGCAAA
rnacentral:tRNA from 2 species